UGAGUGUUCCGUGUAUGUACAUAUUCUGCUCUUAAGUUGAUAAAUAGACAUAUAUUGAGAGUGUCCUUGACUCCUCGCUGAUCCUUAGGAGUCCUUUGGCACCAUGUCCUGUGUGCAUUAUAAAUUCUCUUCUAAACUCAACUAUGACACCGUCACCUUUGAUGGGCUGCACAUCUCCCUCUGCGACCUAAAGAAGCAGAUUAUGGGGAGAGAGAAGCUGAAAGCUGCCAAUUGCGACUUGCAGAUCACCAACGCACAGACCAAGGAAGAAUAUACUGAUGAUAAUGCUCUGAUUCCUAAGAAUUCAUCUGUAAUUAGAAGAAUUCCUAUUGGAGGUGUUAAAUCUACAAGCAAGAGGUACUUUAUAAGUCGAACUGAACCAGUGAUGGGAACUUCAAAAGCAAUUGAUGACUCUUCUGCAUCUAUUUCUCUGGCCCAGCUUAGAAAGACUGCCAAUCUGGCUGAAGCCAGUGCUUCUGAAGAAGAUAAAAUUAAAGCAAUGAUGUCGCAAUCUGUGAAUACAACCCAAUCAAUUACAUGAAGAGGCCUCUAGGUCCACCACCUCCAUCUUAUACCUGUUUCCGCUGUGGUAAACCUAGCCAUUAUUUUAAGAAUUGCCCAACAAAUGGGGAUAAGAACUUCGAACCUGAUCCUAGGAUUAAAAAGAGCACUGGAAUUCCCAGAAAUUUUAUGAUGGAAGUGAAAGAUCCUAACAUGAAAGGUGCAAUGCUCACCAACAUUGGAAAAUACUCAAUACCAACUAUAGAUACAGAAGCCUAUGCAAUUGGGAAGAAAGAAAAGCCACCUUUCUUACCCAAGGAGCCCUCUCCAUUUUCUGAAGGGGACGACCCUAUCCCAGAUGAGUUGCUGGUCUCAUCUGCAAAGACGUCAUGACUAAUGCCGCUGUCAUUCCCUGCUGUGGAAACAGCUACUGUGAUGAGUGUAUAAGAACAGCACUCUUUGAAUCAGAGGACCAUACAUGCCCAACGUGUCAUCAGAAUGAUUUCUCUCCUGAUGCUUUAGUUGCCAAUAAAUUCUUGCGACAGGCUGUUAAUAACUUCAAAAAUGGAACUGAUUAUACAAAAAGACUACGGAAACAGUUACCCCACCACCACCCCCAAUACCGCCUCCGAGACCACUCAUUCAGCAGAAUCUACAACCUCUGAUGAAAUCUCCAAUAUCAAGACAACAAGAUGCUCUGAUGAUUCCAGUGAUGACUUCAUCAGGCCACCCGGUUCCCUCUGUAUCUUCAUUAACUUCUAAUCAGUCUUCCUUAGCCCCUGCUGUGCCUGGAAAUUCAUCUACCCCAGCGCCUGUACCUGAUAUAACUGCAAGGGUCUUCAUAUCAGUCCACUCAGAAAAAUGAUGGGCCUUUCCAGGAUU